ACUAUAUAAUAAGCAUAAAUACAUUAAAUAAAGACAUUACAUCCAUACUAAAUGACAAAACACCCAGCCAAAUAUGCAUUUCUAACUGUCUAGAACCUGAUGCAUCAAGUUUGCUCUUCUCAUAAGUCAUAACCCAGAAGACACAAACAAAAAAACAGUGAAAGCACACACCACAGCUGAUGGCACAUCAUGGAGCUAGACAAACUAUUACUUUGAACUAUAAAAUUUCAUAGCAUAUUUAAUCUCAAAAUGAAAAAUUUUAAAAGAUAUCCGAACACAAACAGAACAUUCUAGCAUUAUCAAUAUUCAUAACAUCUAUCAGCAAUCAGAAAGUAUGUUAAAUGCUUUAAGAUCGAACAAUCAAAUAACGUAUGUUAAAGAAAUACCAAAGCAUAUUAAGAAACAAAAUAGAAGAUUGUUGCUAGUUAAAGAAUACAAUGCAUAUCUCGAAAUCUCCAAGAUAUAAAUUUUGGAAGCAUGUUUACCACUAGAAAGUACUUGGGCACCAAACUCAAAAAGUGAACCUGUCUUAUAAACAAAGGGAUUAACAUAUUAAUCAUCACUAAUGAUAUAAAAACCAUACUCAGAUGCUUUAUAUAGCUUGUCAUUAAAAGUAUUCAAAUCUUGGAGAGAGGCUUUAUGCAUCAUUACCCUAAACUUGAUCACCUCAUAAACAAAGCAAUGAACAACAAUUUUUACAUUUAACAUGCAAGAAAUUACCUCUGAAACAUAGA
rnacentral:misc_RNA from 1 species